CCUACGGGGGGCAGCAGUGAGGAAUAUUGGUCAAUGGACGAGAGUCUGAACCAGCCACGUAGCGUGAAGGAUGACUGCCCUCUGGGUUGUAAACUUCUUUUAUAUGGGAAUAAAAUGAUUCACGUGUGCGUUUUUGUAUGUACUUUAUGAAUAAGGAUCGGCUAACUCCGUGCCAGCAGCCGCGGUAAUACGGAGGAUCCGAGCGUUAUCCGGAUUUAUUGGGUUUAAAGGGAGCGUAGGUGGAUUGUUAAGUCAGUUGUGAAAGUUUGCGGCUCAACCGUAAAAUUGCAAUUGAUACUGGCAGUCUUGAGUACAGUAGAGGUAGGCGGAAUUCGUGGUGUAGCGGUGAAAUGCUUAGAUAUCACGAAGAACUCCGAUUGCGAAGGCAGCUUACUAGACUGUGACUGACACUGAGGCUCGAAAGUGUGGGUAUCAAACAGGAUUAGAUACCCGGGUAGUC
rnacentral:rRNA from 1 species